rnacentral:rRNA from 1 species
UACGUAGGGUGCGAGCGUUGCCCGGAUUUAUUGGGCGUAAAGGGCGCGCAGGCGGCCACGCACGUCCGUUGUGAAAUCGCUCGGCUCAACUGGGCGGGUCAGCGGAUACGGCGCGGCUGGAGCAAGCUAGGGGGCAAUGGAAUUCCCGGUGUAGUGGUGGAAUGCGUAGAUAUCGGGAGGAACACCAGUGGCGAAGGCGGUUGCCUGGAGCUUUGCUGACGCUGAGGCGCGGAAAGCGUGGGGAGCGAGUCCGG